AGUGACUAUGUUGAUAUGUUUCCAAUGUGAGUUCAAGGAAAGUGGUGUGGUUGUUGUUGUUGUCAACGUUGGAGCUGGAAAGGCGCUGGCGGUGGCCAGAGCUGCGGGGGUCACAGCCGUUGCCCAAAUAACAGACGUCAACGAACUGAAGAAACUGAUUGUAGAGCUUGAGAAGGAGGUUACAGAGCUGGAGAGGUGAGAUUGAGGUGAAGAGAGAAGCAAAUGUGGAGUGUCGUAUUGAGGAGAGGCAGGAGCAGUAGCAUGGCCUGCCGGUCCAGAUGAGGGAGCAGUGUGGGGAGUACGAGGGGCUGCUGGGUCAGACGAUCGCCCCGGACAUCGAGAUCGCUGCCUACAGUCCACCUGGCCGUGCUGCUGCUCCAGUUUCAACUGUUCUGCCUGCGGCUAUGGAACCCUGACCUGUUCACCGGAUGUGCUGCCUGUCCCGGACCUGCUGUUUUCAGCUCUCUAGAGACAGCAGGAGUGGUAGAGAUACUCUGAAUUAUUGGCUAUGAAAAGCCAACUGACAUUUACUUCUGAGGUGCUGACCUGUUGCACCCUCGACAUUUACUGUGAUUAUUAUUAUUUGACCCUGCUGGUCAUCUAUGAACAUUUUAACAUCUUGGCCAUAUUCUGUUAUAAUCUCCACCUGGCACAGCCAGAAGAGGACUGGCAACCCCUCAUAGCCUGGUUCCUCUCUCGGUUUCUUCCUAGGUUCUGGCCUUUCUAGGGAAUUUUUCCUAGCCACCAUGCUUCUACACCUGCAUUGCUUGCUGUUUGGGGUUUUCUGUACAACACUUUGUUGCAUCAGUUGAUGUAAGAAGGGCUUUAUAAUUAAAUUGGAUUGAUUGAUUGAUAUGCACCUAUGUUGUCAACUUUCAUUCAUAGGCUAGGUUGUAGCAACCCCAUGAUGGAUGUAGGGAAAAUUUGAGUAUCAUGUAGUAGCCUAAACCUAUCGAUGUUACUUUGAACUGGGUGAAUGGAAUAUGAAUGACAGCCAUAUAAUAUGCUGUAAUAGA